CGUGUAGGCGGGACGGCACGUCGGUCGCUGAAAUCCCCCGGCUCAACCGGGGAACGGGCGCCGAUACGACCGUCCUGGAGGGACGUAGGGGGACCUGGAACUUCCGGUGGAGCGGUGAAAUGCGUUGAGAUCGGAAGGAACGCCCGUGGCGAAAGCGAGGUCCUGGACGUUUUCUGACGCUGAGACGCGAAAGCCAGGGGAGCGAACG
rnacentral:rRNA from 1 species